rnacentral:rRNA from 1 species
AAUAUUGCGCAAUGGAGGGAACUCUGACGCAGCGACGCCGCGUGAGCGAUGAAGGUUUUCGGAUCGUAAAGCUCUGACCAUGGGGAAGAAGGCGGCCAUUUAUGGUCACUUGACGGUACCCAAGGAGGAAGCCCCGGAGAACUACGUGCGAGUAGCCGCGGUAAUACGUAGGGGGCAAGCGUUGUCCGGAAUUAUUGGGCGUAAAGGGUGCGUAGGCGGCCUUUUAAGUCAGAUGUGACAGCCCACGGCUCAACCGUGGGAUUGCAUUUGAAACUGGAGGGCUUGAGUAUCGGAGAGGGUAGUGGAAUUCCCAGUGUAGCGGUGAAAUGCGUAGAUAUUGGGAGGAACACCAGUGGCGAAGGCGACUACCUGGACGAUUACUGACGCUGAUGCACGAAAGCUAGGGGAGCAAACA